GCUUGCUCCCUGAUGUUAGCGGCGGACGGGUGAGUAACACGUGGGUAACCUGCCUGUAAGACUGGGAUAACUCCGGGAAACCGGGGCUAAUACCGGAUGCUUGUUUGAACCGCAUGGUUCAAACAUAAAAGGUGGCUUCGGCUACCACUUACAGAUGGACCCGCGGCGCAUUAGCUAGUUGGUGAGGUAACGGCUCACCAAGGCAACGAUGCGUAGCCGACCUGAGAGGGUGAUCGGCCACACUGGGACUGAGACACGGCCCAGACUCCUACGGGAGGCAGCAGUAGGGAAUCUUCCGCAAUGGACGAAAGUCUGACGGAGCAACGCCGCGUGAGUGAUGAAGGUUUUCGGAUCGUAAAGCUCUGUUGUUAGGGAAGAACAAGUACCGUUCGAAUAGGGCGGUACCUUGACGGUACCUAACCAGAAAGCCACGGCUAACUACGUGCCAGCAGCCGCGGUAAUACGUAGGUGGCAAGCGUUGUCCGGAAUUAUUGGGCGUAAAGGGCUCGCAGGCGGUUUCUUAAGUCUGAUGUGAAAGCCCCCGGCUCAACCGGGGAGGGUCAUUGGAAACUGGGGAACUUGAGUGCAGAAGAGGAGAGUGGAAUUCCACGUGUAGCGGUGAAAUGCGUAGAGAUGUGGAGGAACACCAGUGGCGAAGGCGACUCUCUGGUCUGUAACUGACGCUGAGGAGCGAAAGCGUGGGGAGCGAACAGGAUUAGAUACCCCUGGUAGUCCCACGCCGUAAACGAUGAGUGCUAAGUGNUUAGGGGGGUUUCCGCCCCUUAGUGCUGCAGCUAACGCAUUAAGCACUCCGCCCUGGGGGAGUACGGUCGCAAGACUGAAACUCAAAGGAAUUUGACGGGGGGCCCGCACAAGCGG
rnacentral:rRNA from 1 species